GACGUCGCAUGCUUCCGGCCGCCAUGGCGGCCGCGGGAAUUCGAUUAGAGUUUGAUCAUGGCUCAGAUUGAACGCUGGCGGCAUGCUUUACACAUGCAAGUCGAGCGGCAGCGCGGGGGCAACCCUGGCGGCGAGCGGCGAACGGGUGAGUAACACAUCGGAACGUGUCCCGUAGUGGGGGAUAACCCGGCGAAAGCCGGGCUAAUACCGCAUAUGCUCUACGGAGGAAAGUGGGGGACCUGCAAGGGCCUUACGCUAUGGGAGCGGCCGAUGUCCGAUUAGCUAGUUGGUGGGGUAAAGGCCUACCAAGGCGACGAUCGGUAGCUGGUCUGAGAGGAUGAUCAGCCACACUGGGACUGAGACACGGCCCAGACUCCUACGGGAGGCAGCAGUGGGGAAUCUUGCGCAAUGGGCGAAAGCCUGACGCAGCAACGCCGCGUGCGGGACGAAGGCCUUCGGGUCGUAAACCGCUUUCAGCAGGGACGAAAAUGACGGUACCUGCAGAAGAAGCCCCGGCCAACUACGUGCCAGCAGCCGCGGUAAUACGAAUCACUAGUGAAUUCGCGGCCGCCUGCAGGUCGACCAUAUGGGAGAGCUCCCAACGCGU
rnacentral:rRNA from 1 species